rnacentral:piRNA from 1 species
UCAACUAAUUCUCUUGUAAACUUUCCUUUAU